rnacentral:rRNA from 1 species
AGUAUGUGGUUUAAUUCGACGCAACGCGCAGAACCUUACCUAGACUUGACAUCCCGGGGAUUUUCUGGAAACAGAGAAGUGCUUUAGCAAUAAAGAACCCGGUGACAGGUGCUGCAUGGCUGUCGUCAGCUCGUGUCGUGAGAUGUUGGGUUAAGUCCCGCAACGAGCGCAACCCUCGCCUUUAGUUGCCAGCAUUCAGUUGGGCACUCUAGAGGGACUGCCGGUGUCAAACCGGAGGAAGUGGGAUGACGUCAAGUCCUCAUGGCCUUUAUGUCUAGGGCUACACACGUACUACAAUGGCCGGUACAAAGGGCAGCCACUCAGCGAUGAGGCGCUAAUCCCAUAAAGCCGGUCUCAGUCCGGAUCGCAGUCUGCAACUCGACUGCGUGAAGUUGGAAUCGCUAGUAAUCGUAGAUCAGCAUGCUACGGUGAAUACGUUCCCGGGCCUU